rnacentral:rRNA from 1 species
UGGGGAAUAUUGCGCAAUGGGGGAAACCCUGACGCAGCGACGCCGCGUGAGCGAUGAAGGCCUUAGGGUUGUAAAGCUCUGUUUUAAGGGACGAAUGUUAUGGGGAGUAAUAUGCCCUGUAAAUGACGGUACCUUAAGAGGAAGCCCCGGCUAACUACGUGCCAGCAGCCGCGGUAAGACGUAGGGGGCGAGCGUUGUCCGGAAUUACUGGGCGUAAAGAGCACGUAGGUGGAGACUUAAGUCAGGUGUGAAAGACCGGGGCUCAACCCCGGGGUGGCACUUGAAACUGGGUCCCUUGAGGGCAGGAGAGGAAAGCAGAAUUCCUGGUGUAGCGGUGAAAUGCGUAGAAAUCAGGAGGAAUACCAGUGGCGAAGGCGGCUUUCUGGACUGACCCUGACGCUGAGGUGCGAAAGCGUGGGUAGCAAACA